rnacentral:rRNA from 1 species
GACGAACGCUGGCGGCGUGCCUAAUACAUGCAAGUAGAACGAAGUUGCGAACGGGUGAGUAACGCGUAGGUAACUACAUGGAAGCGGGGGGUAACUAUUGGAUACGAUAGCUAAUCCUGCAUACUAACAGAUGGACCUGCGGUGGAUUAGCUAGUUGGUGGGGGAACGGGUCAACAAGGCAACGAUACAUAGCCGACCUGAGAGGGUGAUCGGCACAACCGGGACGGAGCAACGGCCACUACUCCUCCGGGAGGCAGCAGUAGGGAAAUUUCGGCAAUGGGGGGAACCCUGUCCGAGCCACGCCUGGUGAGUGAAGAAGGUUUUCGGGUCGGAAAGCUCUGUUGUUAAGUAAGCGUUACUUAACCAGAAAGGGACGGCUAACUACGUGCCAGCAGCCGCGGUAAUUC